rnacentral:lncRNA from 1 species
UUUGCUCUGUAUCUUUCUUCAUCGAGAAUCAAUGGCUCUGCCCAAUACUAGCAUGUGAAGGCAUGUUUGUGGUCAAACAAAACGGGCCCUAGAAAAAGGAAGAGGAUGAUAUAAUUUGUAACCUUACUAUCCUGUUUUCCUCUGCUAUCAUCUCACCAACUAAUGGCAACUAGAUGGUCUGUUGUUCUGCAGCAGGCAACUGAGUCGGCCAUUGUGUGGUGGGGUGGCGGUAAAAGGCGGAAGAUCCAGUAGUUGUACAGAAUCAUUUGAGGCACUGUUUGGCUUGUGCCAAGUCUCUUUACUGCAUGCAAACUUACUUUUGAUAUAUUCUCUUAAAUCGUCAGAAUUGUUCUCUUUUAAUGAAUUGUUAGCAAUUAGUUAUGAAGUAUUCUACUUAUUUAGAACUUCUGUUUCUCUUUGAAAAAGUCUCUUCUUCAGAGUUCUCAUAAUUUAUACAUGAGUUCUCUUGAUAAUUUUGUUUGUCUUUCGCUUUUAUUGCAUAUUCUUAAAAUUAUAUUUAUUUACAUUCAUGCCUCUGAAUAACAUGUUUUCAUAAGCCACUCUGUGAAACAAAACGGGCCCUAAAAAAAGGAAGAGGAUGAUAUAAUUUGUAACCUUAUUAUCCUGCUUUCCUCUGCUAUCAUCUCACCAACUAAUGGCAACUAGAUGGUCUGUUGUUCUGCAGCAGGCAACUGGGUCGGCCAUUGUUUGGUGUGGUGGCGGUAAAAGGCGAAAUA